GUCCAGAGAAUAUUAACCAUUGUUUUAAACCAAUGCAUUGUGGGAAGCUCAUUCCUUUUCUUCUGUCUUGGCGCUUCUCGCACAUUUCUUUCUUUUUUGAAGUUCGUACCGUGUUGACUGUUUGCAUAUAAAACUAAAAAGAUGGGUGACAGGUUUGAUAAUAAUGAUUUGCGGACUGUAUUUGUUGGAAAGCUUGACUAUGGGGCUGAGGAAGAUGACCUUUCUCAAGUAUUUGAAAGAUAUGGUGUUAUUGAAAAGAUUUCGAUUCCUACUGACCGUGAAACUGGAAGAAAACGUGGAUUUGCUUUUGUAACCUAUCAAAAUUCCAAUGAUGCUCAAGAUGCUGUAGAUGGCGUUCAAAAUGAACAAAUUAACGGACGUGAAAUAACAGUGCAAAUAUCGAAACCAAGACAGGGAGGUGGUGGCAGACCUCGAGGAGGUGGUGGUUACGGAGGGGGCGGUUAUGGUGGUGGCCGAGGACGUGGUGGUGGUUAUGGUGACCGACGUGGUGGUGGUGGUGGAUAUGGCGGUGGCCGUUCAUAUGGAGGAGGUGGUGACAGCUAUGGAAGCCGUUCAUAUGGUAGUGGUGGUGGUAGUGGCGGAGGAAGGUCAUAUGGUGGUGGCAGCAGCUACAACAACAGUGGUUAUUAAAAUCAAUUUACAGACCAACUCAAGUUUAAAAGAAGAUUGGUUUUCAAAUAAAAGCACUAUUCAGGUAAGCUUGUUCAGCGUAGUUUUUUUGGCCUACCACCUGUAAAUUUACUUAGCAGUCCUUUCGUCAAUGCAUCAUGCUUAAAUCUAGAGUCCGGUCAUGCUUCAUGUUGAGUUAACUCAUCAUUUGCAUGGCUGUGAUGUAGUAAUGAAAGUAUUGAUAGACAGAAAGGAAUAAUAACAUUGCAAUAAAUGCCAGCUGUUUGACAACCUCUUUUUAAUGUUGCAUGACGACCAGUUGUUCAUGGCUUUAGCAACACUUAUGUAAGUUACUGUAAAAUUUUUAGUCUACACUUCUGUUUCUCAUUUUGCAAUACAUGUAUUUUUAAUGGCUUGGUUUUUCUAGGUCAGCCGAUCCAGAGGUAUUUCAAUCUAGAGGUGACGACCUGUGUGUGUUAAAUAGGCUUUCUUCUUGCAGACACUCUCCAUAAUUGUUGCUGAAGCUGCGACGAAAAAAAUCAGUGGCGAAGUUUUUCCCUAUGACUCUCAGUCGUGAAUGGACGUGUACGCUGUACUAUUAUAUUCAAAAUACAUAACACGUUAUA